rnacentral:rRNA from 1 species
AUGAGAUGCCUUAGCUGGAACUGCCGUGGGCUUGGGAACCCAGCGGCAGUUCGAGAGCUUCGAAGUGUUGUGAAGCAAGAAGGGCCCUGUCUCCUCUUCUUGAUGGAGACAAAAAUCCCCGCAAAAAGAGUUCAAAAUUUGCAAGCUACUCUAGGUUUUGCAGGAUGUUUUGCCGUGGGAAGUGAUGGCUUAAGUGGAGGUAUUGGAUUAUUCUGGUCAGCCGAUUUUAAGGUUGAUCUCAAAAGCUAUAGU